CUCGUCCUCUCUCCACUGAAGGCCAUGGAAGUGAUACUAAUAAAGUCCAUCGUUUAGGUCCAGCAGGUUUGCCUUGCAGGUCAUUCAACUGGCGCCAUCUCCUGGAGGGAAUAGCAAACUGCCCUAACAGAUGAGUUGAGUCGGAGGAAAGAUGUGAGCUCUAUUAUCGAUUGCGGGGACAUGAGCCGCCUGUGGUCCACUCUUGGAUUCAUGGAAUCAAGAGCCCGAGACUCUCCUAAACCUACUACGGAGUCCAGGAGCUCGUGAGCUGAAGAGGUCAUCAUCAUCAUCAUCAUCAUCAUCCUCUGCCACAUCAUCAUCAUAAUCGUCAUCAUCAUCGCUAGUUGACCAUACAAACCUGGGGUGCCGUGUGUUUUCACAGCCGCGUUGCCCUU